rnacentral:rRNA from 1 species
AGGGUUCGAUUCUGGCUCAGGAUGAACGCUGGCGGCGUGCCUAACACAUGCAAGUCGAACGGGUAAGUGAAAUUUCGGAUGGAGCUUAACUUAGUGGCGGACGGGUGAGUAACGCGUGGAUAACCUGCCUCACACUGGGGGAUAGCAGCUGGAAACGGCUGGUAAUACCGCAUAAGACCACAGCACCGCAUGGUGCAGGGGUAAAAGAUUUAUCGGUGUGAGAUGGAUCCGCGUCUGAUUAGCCAGUUGGCGGGGUAACGGCCCACCAAAGCGACGAUCAGUAGCCGGCCUGAGAGGGUGAACGGCCACAUUGGGACUGAGACACGGCCCAAACUCCUACGGGAGGCAGCAGUGGGGAAUAUUGCACAAUGGGCGCAAGCCUGAUGCAGCAACGCCCGCGUGAGUGAAGAAGUAUUUCGGUAUGUAAAGCUCUAUCGGCAGGGAAGAAAGGCCCUUAACAGGGAGAUGACGGUACCUGACUAAGAAGCCCCGGCUAACCACGUGCCAGCCGCCGC